GAUGAAGAACGCAGCGAAAUGCGAUAAGUAAUGUGAAUUGCAGAAUUCAGUGAAUCAUCGAAUCUUUGAACGCACAUUGCGCCCGCCAGUAUUCUGGCGGGCAUGCCUGUUCGAGCGUCAUUUCAACCAUCAAGCCCCGGGCUUGUGUUGGGGACCUGCGGCUGCCGCAGGCCCUGAAAAGCAGUGGCGGGCUCGCUGUCACACCGAGCGUAGUAGCAUACAUCUCGCUCUGGGCGUGCUGCGGGUUCCGGCCGUUAAACCACCUUUUAACCCAAGGUUGACCUCGGAUCAGGUAGGAAGACCCGCUGAACUUAAGCAUAUCAAUAAGCGGAGG
rnacentral:misc_RNA from 1 species